rnacentral:rRNA from 1 species
AAUAGAUACCCUGGUAGUCCACGCCGUAAACGAUGAGUGCUAAGUGUUAGAGGGUUUCCGCCCGUUUAGUGCUGAAGUUAACGCAUUAAGCACUCCGCCUGGGGAGUACGGCCGCAAGGCUGAAACUCAAAGGAAUUGACGGGGGCCCGCACAAGCGGUGGAGCAUGUGGUUUAAUUCGAAGCAACGCGAAGAACCUUACCAGGUCUUGACAUCCUCUGACAACCCUAGAGAUAGGGCUUCUCCUUCGGGAGCAGAGUGACAGGUGGUGCAUGGUUGUCGUCAGCUCGUGUCGUGAGAUGUUGGGUUAAGUCCCGCAACGAGCGCAACCCUUGAUCUUAGUUGCCAUCAUUAAGUUGGGCACUCUAAGGUGACUGCCGGUGACAAACCGGAGGAAGAUGGGGAUGACGUCAAAUCAUCAUGCCCCUUAUGACCUGGGCUACACACGUGCUACAAUGGACGGUACAAAGAGCUGCAAGACCGCGAGGUGGAGCUAAUCUCAUAAAACCGUUCUCAGUUCGGA